rnacentral:rRNA from 1 species
GAUCCUGGCUCAGGACGAACGCUGGCGGCGUGCUUAACACAUGCAAGUCGAACGGAGCACCCUUGACGGAGUUUUCGGACAACUGAUAGGAAUGCUUAGUGGCGGACUGGUGAGUAACGCGUGAGGAACCUGCCUUUCAGAGGGGGACAACAGUUGGAAACGACUGCUAAUACCGCAUGAUGCAUGACUGGGGCAUCCCAGACAUGCCAAAGAUUUUAUCGCUGAAAGAUGG